CCCAGACCUGGAGGAGGAGCCGGAAAUGACCAGCCCCGGGGGAGGCUGGAGAAGGGAACAGCCUUCCAGCUGACCUCACGUGGCUCCAUGUGUAGAGGAAUGGGUGAGUUCAUGAAACAGGAGGAGGUACAGACAGAUGGAAGACUGCACCUGCUCCUUGGCAGCUGUGUGACCUUGAACAGUUAACCCCUGCCUCCGUUUCCCUGGCUCUCACGGGAGGAUCCCCGUGGCUCCUUCUGACAAGUCCCUGAGCUUGCAGAGCAGGAGGGGUUUCCCCAAGGUGGCCCCCUUCUCCCCUGGCCCGGGAGCCUUGGUUGGGAUCCAGCCCCACACUAGAUCUGUGACCUUCUGCCAGGGAGGCAGGUCUUCUGUUUGAGCUGCUAUUGGAGCUUACAACAAGAGGAAACAACUUGUAUAAAGUGUCUGCUGUGUGCCAGAAGGAAGAGGGUGUUUCGAGGAGGAAGAACGUGGGUGUGCUUCCGGGGCAACAUGAUGUCACAGAAAUGCAAAAAGGAGGCAACCGGCCCCAAACGGAGUCACUGGUGCUAAACCCACAUCACCGAACUGCAGCUUAAAACAGACGUGGGCAAAGAUGCACUGCUUCUGAGAGCGACAGACACAGCCAUCAACGACCCCCAGGAGGCCAAUGCUGCAUGCAGUGAAGGAACCCGCACAAGGAACAGCAGAGUGCAAUGGCCGAUAAAACACAAUAAACAGGUUUGCUGCAUUUGCUGACCUAGAAAGAUAGCCACAAUAUAGUAAAAAAAAAAACAAAAACUGGUCCCAUUUUAGAAAAAAAAAUAGCUAUAAGCAUACGUAUAUAUAGAGAGAUGUAUUUGAACAAACAGAAAAACAGCUUACAAAGUUAAAUUAUUUGACUAGAAUGUAAAAAUGGCAUUUCAUUUUCAUUUCUUUGAAGAUUAGGGAGGUUGACUGUUUUUUUUUAAGUUGGCCAAUUGUGUUUCCUCUGGUGUGAGUUGCUGAAAUAUUACUCCUCCUUGAUCUUCUGUCACAAGCAAAUAGUGUAAAAUUCUGGCACCAUGUGUCAUAAAGAGAGUUUCUGUUUAAAAUUCCAACGCUUCCAUUAUGAUGGUAUCUUGGAAAAGAGGUUGCUGAACUUGAAGUGGAGGGCUCCAGUCUUAAUGUAAUGAAUUAUCCUGUGAGAUAAAGAGUUCAGAAAAAUAAAGGAGGAUA